UACGUAGGUGGCAAGCGUUGUCCGGAUUUACUGGGCGUAAAGAGCGCGCAGGCGGUCGGAUAAGUCGAAUGUGAAAGCCCCCGGCUCAACUGGGGAGGGUCAUUCGAUACUGUUCGACUCGAAGGCAGGAGAGGGAAGUGGAAUUCCCGGUGUAGUGGUGGAAUGCGUAGAUAUCGGGAGGAACACCAGUGGCGAAGGCGGUUGCCUGGAGCUUUGCUGACGCUGAGGCGCGAAAGCGUGGGGAGCGAUCCGG
rnacentral:rRNA from 1 species